GCUAGGCGUGGUGGCCUGCGCCUGUAAUCCCAGCCACUUGGGAGGCUGAGGCAGAAGAAUCGCUUGAACCUAGGAGGCAGAGGUUGCAGUGAGCCAAGAUCGUGCCACUGCACUCCAGCCUGGGUAACAGAGCAAGACUCUGUCUCCA
rnacentral:sRNA from 1 species